GAAUCUUGACUGGGGUGUGAGCCGUGAGGGGUUCUCGUCUGUAGUGGACGAGGGCCGGGUGCACAACAACAGGCAAUCGCCAGACACACUAUUGGGCCCUGAGACAACACUCGGCCGACUUCGGUUGAAGUGGUGUCCCUCCAUCUUGGUGGUGGGGUGUGGUGUUUGAGUAUUGAAUAGUGGUUGCGAGCAUCAGGAGGUACCUCCGUUCUGUUUGAGUAUUGGAUAGUGGUUGCGAGCAUCAGGGUGGUGGGGUGUGGGGUUUGACAUCAGAAUGGUGAAGGCAAUUAUCAGGUACCGCCUC
rnacentral:misc_RNA from 1 species